rnacentral:rRNA from 1 species
GCAGAUCCCAAGGGUAUGGCUGUUCGCCAUUUAAAGAGGUACGUGAGCUGGGUUUAGAACGUCGUGAGACAGUUCGGUCCCUAUCUGCCGUGGGCGUUGGAGAUUUGAGAGGAGCUGCCCCUAGUACGAGAGGACCGGGGUGGACGUACCUCUGGUGGACCUGUUGUGACGCCAGUCGCAUUGCAGGGUAGCUAUGUACGGAAGGGAUAACCGCUGAAAGCAUCUAAGCGGGAAGCCCCCCUCGAGAUAAGAUCUCCCUUAAGAACCGUGGAAGACCACCACGUUGAUAGGUCAGGUGUGGAAGUGUGGCAACACAUGAAGCUUACUGAUACUAAUUAUUCGAUCGAACUUGAUUUACC